CCGUACCGGGGAACAGCGAGUGGCGGCAGCUUCCUUGCCCCACCGCUGCUACUUCGCAAGGGAGAGACUGAAAGGAAGUUUGUUGCCGUGCCCACCACCCCUCGUGCGCUGUCUGGGCAGUUGGGACCCCGUCUGCUGCCAGCUGCUUGGGGGCGGGCGUGGGGAAGUGAUGCCGAUCGCCGCCAAUUUGCAACCUUGCGCUGUGCAGCCCGACUCCCGCCUCUUUGCUUCCGCCUGCCUGCGGAACCACGACCGGGAAUCCGCAAAGUCCGGGGAGGACGGCGUUGAAGAUCGAUAGGAUCCCCUUCUCCAGCAGCCGCCUCCCCCCACCCUCUGCCAGCAGCCACCGCCAACCCUACACAGGCCGAGCCACCCGGAACAAGGAACUCAGAGCCAGGGCAGAGGCAGACACAUCGCCGCUCCGGGCACCAGACGUCCUGUGUCAGGUCCCAGAAGUUGACACCCUCCGCAACACUUCAGUGGAGUUAUGCCCGCCCCUCCGGGUAUGUGUCCCCACGGGAGACACGACGGGUGUCUGGACGCCAGGUGGUAAAACACCCGGGGACGGGGUAGAGACCAGAGUCGUGGUAUCGCACUCCAUUUGCUUUGAGGUGUCUGCCCUCAGACGUCAGAGUUUAUGACCUUUUUGAGCCGUCGCCUCGCGCGGCCAGGAGGGUGCUGAGUUCCCGAGGGUUACAUGAGAGCACCAGCGCACACGGGGGAGACGUCGGGGUUCCCGGAAAAGGGACUGAGAAAAAACUCUGCUAGGGCUAAUUAUAAAAAACAGAUAAACUUGUCUGGGCUCUUGUUCGAGUUUUGUACCUCAUGGCGAACAGCUGAAACUUUGGAGUGUGUCAGGGGUAAAGUGAAACAGAUUCACCAAGAUCGGGAGUUUGUGAAGUCUUCAGGACUGUGUUGUGAAGCCAUUUCCUUCUCUGCGUAUUUUCUCCUUGUAUUUCUGGUGUUGGAAUCGUUUAGUGGACUGGACUGCCGGAGAAAGUUUCUGAACUCUCUUGCUCCGUGAGGCUCAAAGGAGUGCAUGGUUCUUCCCACAGACCCUGAGCUGAGUGUUAGGUUAGAAACAUUUUAAAUUAUUCCAUCAUUUAUGUGGUAUUAGAAAUUAUGCUGUUGGAGAAGAAAUACUGUAAUUAAUUUUGAAAGGGUACAUUUGCUCUUAAUGUAAUAAUUGUUAAUAUAGUAUCUGUGCUGUCUUCAUAUUUCCUAGACUGUUGGUAUAGUGUUUUAUUCUUAAUUUGAGAUUACUGUUUUUUUACCGUGCCUUUAAAUAUGUCUGUACCAUCGUAUAAACUUUUCUUGUAUUCUGAAUAAUACCAGGGCUGUGUAACUUUGAUUGUAGUUAUUCUGCUUAGCUGAUUCUCCAAAAUGUUAUGUGAGAUUCAGUGAUUGUCUAUGGUUAGCUCUGAUCUCUUUGGUAAAGAAAUAGCCCCCUAAUACAGCUAAUCUGUUGAUCAAUGUAGUAGAUAGUGUAUGGGUGAUCUACUCUUAAUUUCCUUAACGAGUGGCUGCUUGCCUUGUUACUGUCCUUUGGCUUUAUUAGUAUUGGAAAGUGAACUGACACACUUUUGUAAGCAUCAAGUGUUUGAUUUUUAGAAUAUUUAUUUUAUGGGGAAACUUGCGAUCCUUCAGGAGUGACAUUCGGUUCCAAAAUUACAUGCGUAUAUAAAUCCAAAGCAGCCCCUAACUUGUUGACUACUUUUUUCCUUUACUGUCAGCAUCUUUUGAAACUAUUAUUAAGACUGAUAUGGCUUCUUAAAUUCUUGUAUAUGUUGGUAACUCCAAAAUGCCGGGAAAACAUCUUAUGAAAAACCUAUCUUUCUGCCUAAUAAUCUCUGUAUAUUAACCAUUUGACACCCGACUUUUUAAGUGUCAGGUCCAUUUAGUGAUUCUAUGAUCAAGAGUCUAUGAUCUAGAUAAUGAUAUCUCUCUGAGGAACAACUUUUGACCAUUUAAUUCACUUUUAUUUUGAUAUAUGAUAUUUCCAAGACUGAGACUCUAAUACUUAAAUUUAUGUUUAUUACUGAACAUGGGAUUUUUUUCCAGACUGCACUGGGAUUUUCCAUAUGAUUAAAUUUUAAACUCAACUCCUGCUUUAAGGACUGGAGUAUUAAAUGCUUUUUCACCAUUGUUUGCAUAUGGCAAUCAAAACUAUUAUAUGUAUAAUAUCUUAAAAUCCUAUAUCUAAAACUAUAUAACUACAUAUAAUAACCAUAUCUAUAACAUAGGUUUAAUAUAUGCAUUGUAUUUAUAUAUAUAUUAGAUAGGCAUUUAUAUUUAUGCAUUGGUGCAGGGAGCAAAGCAAACAAUGAGAGAUCAGUCUUUGGGAUUGGAGCAUGGAGAAAUAGACUAAUUAGUCCUUUCCUAGAAUAGAUUUGUAAUUGUACUUAUUUCUUGGAUAGUUACUUAGAUGACUUAUGGAAGUGUGUAGUAUGGAUGUUUACACUCUUAGAAAUCUUGCUCUAAAAUGAGAUAUAUUUUAUACACAAUAAGGUUCACCACUUUCCCUUGUGGUUGGAAAUGUUUUAAAGGAAUACCAUGUUAAAAAUUUAUAAGGAAUUUUAGUUUUUACAUUUGAAUUGGUUUAUAUGUUGCAGAAAUAUCUCUGUAUGUAUAUUGGAGAUCACUUCUUAUAUAGUUAUCUCUCUUUUAUAAUUAUGUGGACCUUUCACAAAAUAUGAUAUGUAACAGGAAAAAAAAUCUUCGGAUAUAAGUGAUCUCAGAAAGGGAAGUUAUACUUGGCAAAAGUUCAUUUCAAUUCUGCUCUUUAGCAAUUGGACAUUCUUGGUGUAGUUGAACAACUCAAGUUUAAGUCUGAUCCCAAAUGUUCUCCUAGCUCUCCCACACUUCUGAUAAUCUCAUAAUAAAAUUGACCUAGUGCAUUACUGUGAAAGUAAAGGUUUUACAUUGCCUGUGACUUGGAAACUCGUAGGUACAGUAAAGAAAUAAAACCUUUAUUGCUUGUUCAGUUCAUCACAAUCUUGGUAACUGUGUACCAAGAUCUUGCCAUUGGAUUAGCGUGAGUUCACUUUCUUGCCUUUUUUCUGAAAAGGGAUAGAGCUUUGGGGGGUUGUUCAAGAGUUUUGGCCUUCAUUAAUGCAGAUCUUGUGCUAAACAUUUAGUUUUUGAGCAAUCUCUGGCAGAGAUGUUGUUGCUGUCAGAAAAACUUGUUUGCAACUAUGGCACUUGGAAGACUUAGGACCAGUUUGUUCAAAGAGUUUAGUUCUUUUAUAUACUAGAAUUAAAUGGUCAAGUUUUAAAAUAUGUUUGGAACUUCAUAGCAAAUGGUUGUUCCUUGUUACUUAUAAUUUCAAACUUAUAUAAACAGCAUAUGUAUUAUGAUCUGUGAUUAAUAUUCUAGUGUUAAGAACAUGUAGAUAUUUUGCAGACCAAAUCAGGUGGUUUGUAGACAGGAGAAAAGAAAUGAUUCCCAUCCCACCCCGUACCCUGGGAAAAGACCAUUUUGGAUCUGUGAAAAUCUAUUUAGUGCAUUUAAAUAUUUGCUACCAGAGAAUGAGUCAUGCACUUUUUUGUGGUAUCAGGAAGUUGAAUUUUUUUGAUGUUGCUGAAAAUCCUAUUAGUCAUAUUCUUGAAAAUAAGUUUCCCAUUUUUGCCAAAAGGUAAAAUAUCAAGAUCAAGACUAUAUUAUUAAACCCUCUUCAAAUUUUGGGAGUAACUAAACAGUAACAGCUAAAUAUAUUUUACAAGUAGUAUCCACAGAGAUAGACACAGAAACACACACGCACAGACACAUGCACACUCAUAGAAUCAUAGAAUAAUUUAGGUUGAAAGGGACCUCCAGAGGUCAUCUAGUCUAACCUCUUGCUCAGAACAAGUCUAAUUAGGUCAAGUUGCUCAAGGCCUUGAACAGCUUCAAGAAUGGAGAUACUUCAACGUCUUUAGGCAAUCUGUUCCAGUAUUCAUAGAAUCACAGAAUCAUAGAAUAGAUUGGGUUGGAAAAGACCUCCAAGAUUAUCGAGUCCAACCCCUGAUCCAACUCCAAUUACUAUAUCAUGGCACUAAGGAUCACGUCCAAUCUCUGUUUAAAAACCUCCAGAGAUGGUGAAUCCACCACCUCUCUGGGCAGGCCGUUCCAAUGCCUGAUUACCCUCUCUGUAAAGAACUUCUUCCUAACAUCUAACCUAAACCUCCCCUGGCAGAGCUUGAGCCCUUGUCCUAUUGUUGGUUGCCUGGGAGAAGAGACCAACCCCCACCUGGCUAUAACCUCCCUUCAGGUAGUUGAAGAGAGUGAUGAGGUCACCUCUAAGCCUUCUCUUCUCCAGACUAAACAACCCCAGCUCCCUCAACCUCUCCUCAUAGGACUUGUGCUCAAGUCCCUUCACCAGCCUCGUUGCUCUUCUCUGGACCCGCUCCAGCACCUCAAUAUCCUUACUGAGCUGAGGGGCCCAGAGCUGAACACAAUACUCAAGGUGUGGCCUCACCAACGCAGAGUACAGGGGAAGGAUCACUUCCCUCGUCCUGCUGGCCACACUGUUCUUGAUGCAGGCCAGGAUGCCAUUGGCCUUCUUGGCCACCUGGGCACACUGCUGGCUCAUGUUCAACCUCCUGUCAAUCAGCACCCCCAGGUCCCUUUCCACCUGGCUGCUCUCCAGCCACUCUGUCCCCAGCCUGUAGCGCUGCAUGGGGUUGUUGUGGCCAAAGUGCAGGACCUGGCACUUGGCCUUGUUGAACUUCAUCCCAUUGGAGUCAGCCCAUCUCUCCAGUCUAUCCAGGUCCCUCUGCAGAGCCCUCCUGCCUUCUGGUAGGUUAACACUCCCUCCCAACUUGGUGUCAUAUGCAAAUUUGCUGAUGAUGGACUCAAUCCCCUCAUCUAGGUCAUCGAUAAAGAUGUUAAACAGGACUGGGCCCAGCACUGACCCCUGGGGAACACCACUGGUGACCGGCCGCCAACCGGAUGCAACCCCGUUCACCACCACUCUCUGGGCCCGGCCCUCCAACCAGUUCCUGACCCAGCACAGAGUGCCCCUGUCCAAGCCAUAGGCUUGAUGAUGGAGAGCGGCUUGGCAAGCUCUUCUACCAGCUCCCUCAUUACCCUAGGAUGGAUCCCAUCUGGUCCCAUAGACUUGUGAGGAUCCAGGUGGCUCAGUAAGUCACUAACUAUUUCCUCCUGGAAUACAAGGGGGCUAUUUGGUUUCCUCUCUCUGUCUACCAGCUCCAGAGGCCAGUUGCCUUGAGGGCCACCUGUCUUACUGGUAAAAACUGAGGCAAAGUAGGUGUUAAGUACCUCAGCCUUCUCUUCAUCUCUAUUAACUGUUUCCCUCCAAGUCCAUCAAAGAAUGGAGGUUUUCUUUGCCCCUCCUUUUGUUAUUAAUGUAUUUAUAGAAGGACUUUUUGUUAUCCCUAACAGAAGCGGCCAAAAUUACUUCAAAUUGCACUUUUGUAUCCUUGAUUUUCUUUCUGCAUGAUCUAGCUGUCUUCCUGAAUUCUUCGUAAGUAGCCAUCCCUUUCUUCCAUAGUCAGUAAACUCUCUUUUUAUCCCUGAUUUCCUUCACAAUCUCCCUGUUUAACCAAGCUGGUUGUCUUCCCCGCCGGCUUGCCUUUCGGCACACCGGUAUGGUCUGUUCCUGUGCACUCAAAACUUCCUGCUUGAAGCACAUCCAUCCCUCCUGGACCCCCUUGUUUUCAAGGGUUGUUUCCCAGGGUAUGCUCUGGACUAGACUUCUGAAUAGGUCAAAAUCUGCCCUCUGGAAGUCCAACGUAGAGGUUUUAUUGUUGGCUCUCCUUGAAUCUCUGAGUAUUGAAAAUUCUAUUAUUUCAUGGUCACUAUUUCCCAGGCGGCCUUCAACCACUACAUCUCCCACCAACCCCUCUCUGUUUGUAAACAGCAGGUCUAGCAGGGCCUUACCCCUGGUAGGUUCAUUUACCAGCUGAUGAAGGAAAUUGUCCUCUAUACACUCCAGGAAAUUCCUAGACUGACUCUUCUCUGCAGUAUUGAGCUCCCAGCAGAUAUCCGGCAGGUUAAAGUCACCCACAAGGACAAGGGCUGACGAUUUCGAGACAUCUGCCAGCUGCUUGUAGAAUAAUUCAUCCCCUUCAUCAUCCCGGUAGGGCGGUCUGUAACAGACACCCAUGAUGAUGUCGACCUUGUUGGUCUUCCCCCUGAUUCUGGUCCACAAGCACUUAAACUUAUCGUUGCUGACCUCAAGUUCAACAGAGUCAAGAGACUCUCUAACAUAUAAAGCCACCCCUCCACCUCUCCUACCCUGCCUGUUCUUUCUGAAGAGCUUGUAACCUUCCAUAGCAGCACUCCAGUCAUGCGAGUCAUCCCACCACGUUUCUGUGAUGGUGACUACAUCAUAGCCUUCCCGCUGCACAAUGGUUUCCAGCUCCUCUUGUUUGUUGCCCAUACUGCGUGCAUUAGUAUACGUGCACUUGAGGUGGGCUGCUGAUUUCAUUCUUAACUCAGGUUUUCCAUCCUUAGGCUGAUCACUGGGGAGCCCGGUUUCAACCCCUUCCCCCUUCAAACCUAGUUUAAAACCCUCCUGAUCAUCCUGGCUAACUUAUGGGCUACAGUCCUCUUCCUCUUCCUAGAAAGAUGAAUUCCAUCUGAUUUUAAGAGACUAGGUACCAUGGAGUUUGCCCCAUGGUCAAAAAAACCAAAAUUUUGAUGGUGGCACCAAUCCUUUAGCCAUCUGUUGAUGAGUUGGGCUUUUUUACUCCUCUCUUUAUUUAACUCCUCAUCCAUCCCAGAUAGUACAGGAACUGAGGCAAAUAUCACCUGUGCUCCUGUCCCCUGAACUGACCAACCCAGUGCUUUAAAGUCUUUUUUAAUUAUCGUGGCACUUCUUCGAUUAAUGUCCUCACUGCCAGCCUGGACUACCACCAGUGGAUAAUAGUCUGAGGGCUGAAUUAACUCAGGAAGUCUCCUACUAAUAUCUCUCACCCUGGCCCCAGGAAGGCAGCAUACUUCUCUCUGGGAUGGGUCUGGGAGACAUAUAGGGCCCUCAGUUCCCCUCAGAAAGGAGUCACUGACUACAACUACCCUUCUUUUUUUUAUACCUGUGGUUGUAAUCUGUCUUGUAGACAGGGCCGAACCAGGAGGCUCUCCAGAGAGAUCUUCUUGGCUGUCCUCUACCUGACUGUCUGGGUCCAGGGUCUCAUAUCUAUUCUUCAAGGGCACCCUGGGGGGUGAUGGGGGUCGAGAGAGAGUUCUUUUACAUCUCCCAUUAGGGACCUGUUUCCAUUCCCCCCCAUCAAUUUGGUCUGCUCCAUCUGCCUUAUGGCAGGAGGGGCAGGGUUUCACCGUCUCCUGUUGGACUUCCUUAGGGUUCAAAAGGGUUUGACUCCACCAGUCAAUUUCCUUUUCACUCUCCCUAAUGCACCUUAAUCUCUCUACCUCUUCCUUAAGUUCUGCUACCAGGCACAGCAAGUCACUCACCUGCUCGCAUUGUACACAGCUACCUCCUAUACCAUCCUCCGGUACCAUUGUCAGGCUCAGACACUCAGCACAUCCAGAGACCUGGGUGGCUGCAUCCUUCUUCGAGGGGAGUGUCUGAGCAGACACACUCCUAGUAUUAACAGCAGCAAUGGCUUUUGUUUUUCUGGAAACCAUUGCUAGCUUUAAAAAGCACACUCACCUACGAGAAGUGGGAGCUGGUUGUGCCCUGCCUGCUUGAAACACUUUGCACUUGCUAACGAGCCCAACCCACCCCUCACUCACCCGAAUCGGUUGCGGGGAGGAGCCAAACCUGGGCAGCAAAUGGCCAAGCAGCUCUUCUGGAGGCUCUUAUAUAGCCUCCCCUCGCACUUGCUAAUGAGCCUGACCCACCCCUCACUCACCUGAAUCGGUUCCAGGGAGGAACCAAGCCUGGGCAGCUCCAGGAGGGAGAGAAACAACAAAAAACAUCCUCCCCAAUGGGAAAAAAACCUCACUCUUUCAGCUGACCAAAUCGUGCAGUAUAGUUUUCCUUCUCCCUUUUAUGUGCACAAGAACCACUGCUAAGAAAGAAACAAAUGGGAACAGGGAAGGGAAAAGAAAGAAAGAAAAAAAAAGAACUCCCAAAACACUUCCUCUCCAAUGAAAAAUCCAAGCAGAAUCCACAGCUGGCAACCAGGCUGAGAACAAAACCCCACGGAGCUUCCACUCUGACCUUUUUCCAGCUUUAGUAGCCAGCCAGAACUCCUCCCACCCCGUUUCCCAGGAGAUGAGAGAAAAAAAAAAGAAAGAAGUUCCUCAACCCCAUUUCUCAAAAGAUGAGAUUCUGAGGCCGUUAACUAGAAGGCAGCUUCUUCUGUGCUCCUUAACUGCCCACUUAACAUCCCUGCACGCAGUGGGCAGGGGGAAGGGAAAAAUUCCUGCUUAGUUUCUAAGAACCAGCAAAACCAUGACAUUAAGAUAGAAUUAUGUCAGCCAAACAUAGAACUGAAAACCUGAAUGAGAUGCAAGAUGUAGGGGGGAGCCACAGAUCUGAGUCUGCACAUCUUGCCCUAUCCCUCAGCAAAGUGGUCAUCUGGCAAUAGUUGCCAGCAGCAACCAUCCCAAACCACAUGUUGGUCAGAAGCCUGACUGGAGAAGGAUUAGGAAUGUUUUCAGUCUGUGAGAAACAAAGUCUCGAGUUAUGGUAGGUUUUCGAAUAAGAAUUUAUUAUAUGGAAAAAGCAAACAGCAUGCUGGACGCAGAGUGGAGUCUUCACUCCAAAACCUCUGUGUGUCCAAUACAGUAUUUGACUACCAUUUAUUCUACUUAUUUCAUGCAUAUUCAUUACAUCAUAUACAUUUAACAUAUGUUUAUUUUCACAACUAGAGCUAGGUUGUUAUCUCUACAGCAGUGAUAGUUUUCCUAUAAUUCAUAUAUUCUUGGACAACAAGGCACCUAGAAGAUCAUUGACUUUACAGAAUUCUACCAUAAUUCAUUUUAGGAAAGCAGAGAUGGUUUAUGGCUUUUGACCUUGAUGACCUUACAAAUGGUCUGCCUUAUUUCUUUAUGGGGGUACAAUUAAGUUUUACAAUCUCUUUGUUUUAUUCUUUUACUGACACAAAUUAUGGCUAUGAAUAUUACAAUCCCUCCCCCUUUUCCAUUAACUUAUUAAUUCGUGUCUUUCGCUCUAAUUUGGACAAUACAAAUUUUGUACAUUUUUCAUUUUGGUUGGUUGGGUCUUGGGCAAUUAAUAACACUUUGGCUCUUUUUGCAGCUUCUAGAUCCAUGGGCAUAGUAGAUAUCUGUAUUCUCUACUAUUGAGACUAUCAAUUUUUUAAAACAAGGAAUCAAACAUGAUAAAAAUAUAAUACUCGUUAAAAUACAUCUCUGUCUCAUUGUAUAGAGUUAAAAGUUUCUGAAUGUCUUUAGUCUCCAUUUGCUGGUCUUCACUUGAAUUUUUAUUUUCAAAUUCUCUGUUGGUUGUGUUUUCUACACAGGUCUUGGGGUCUUUUUAACUCUGGUGUAUUGUAUUUAAGGAAGUUGUUUUUUGGUUUUGAUUGUAGUGUAAGUAGUCAGCAACACUUGAUAUGGACUUCUCCUCUUUUGGCUCCAGGGCCUGUAAAAGGUCUUACAUACACAUAGUUUUUGGGUACAAUAUUAUGAAUUGGCCCAUCGGGGCCACAAGCUUGUGUCUUCAGGACUAGGUUUUCAAUAUUUUUAAGUUGUUUUUGCAAAUGUGUAAUAUAAUUUAUUAAUGUUUUUGUUCCCACUUUACUUGACACUUCUUCCUAUACUAUAUAGGGCUUUUCGAAAAGUAUUUUUUGAUUAGUUCACUAAGGAUACACCUCAGGUCAACCUGAAAAAGUGUCAGUGAAAAUGAGCAAAUAUCCAAACACCCCUUUUCUGGGCAGUUCUGAAAAAUCAAUUUGCCACUGUUGUCCUGGAAAAUUACCUUUCCCUAUUUGUCUAAGUUGAAGUUGGUUAUGGGUGCCUGGGUUGUUCUGCAAACAAAUUUCACACCGUUGGGUCACCUGCCUCACAGUGGUAUAGAGAUUUUGUGUUAUUAUAUUUUGGCUUAGAUAUUUGUAUAGAGCUUCUGUUCCCUAUUGAUUUCUUGUGUUCUGUCAUGAUAAGGGCCCAUAAAAUAGAAGAGGGUAUUAUUAACUUACCAUCCGGUGUCUUGGCCCAUUUGUUUUCUUCUA